AGUGGGAUAGCUGGGUCAAAUGGUGGUUUCAUUCCAAGUUUUCUAAGGAAUCUCCAUACUGCUUUCCAGAGUGGUUGCACCAAUUUUCAGGCCCACCAGCAGU
rnacentral:pre_miRNA from 1 species